AGUACUUGCCAGUUCUUAAAGCUAUAGUGCGUAGUUUCUGUCGCCCCCAUUAGGAAUUCUAAUGACAACCACACUGUCGGAGCGUCCACAUGAUAAAAGCCUUCCGUGAUCGCAAAGAAUUCCGAAAACA